rnacentral:rRNA from 1 species
AACAAAAACAUGGUUUUUUGAAUAUAAUUUAAGAUCUAAUCUGCCCACUGAUUUAAUUAUUAAAGGGCCGCAGUAUAUUGACUGUGCGAAGGUAGCAUAAUCAAUAGUUUUUUAAUUGAAAGCUUGUAUGAAUGAUUGGACGAGAUAAAUUCUGUCUUUAUUUAAUUUAUUUUAGAAUUUAAUUUUUAAGUUAAAAAGCUUAAAUUUAUAUAAAAGACGAGAAGACCCUAUAGAUCUUUAUAAUUAAUUAUUAAAUUUAUUUUAUGGAAAUAUUUUAUAUGUUAAUAAUUAAUUAUUUUAUUGGGGUAAUAAAAAGAUUUAAUUAAUUCUUUUAUUUAUUUACAUUGAUAUAUGAUUUUAUUUGAUCCUUUAUUAGAGAUUAAAAGAUUAAGUUACCUUAGGGAUAACAGCGUAAUUUUUUUUUAGAGUUCAUAUCGAUAAAAAAGUUUGCGACCUCGAUGUUG